GAUGAACGCUAGCGAUAGGCCUAACACAUGCAAGUCGAGGGGCAGCACAUGAGUAGCAAUACGAUGGUGGCGACCGGCGCACGGGUGAGUAACACGUAUGCAACCUACCUCUAACAGGGGGAUAACCCGUUGAAAGACGGACUAAUACCCCAUAAUACAGGGGCUCCGCAUGGAGAUAUUUGUUAAAGAUUUUAUCGGUUAGAGAUGGGCAUGCGUUCCAUUAGCUAGUUGGUGAGGUAACGGCUCACCAAGGCGACGAUGGAUAGGGGAACUGAGAGGUUUAUCCCCCACACUGGAACUGAGACACGGUCCAGACUCCUACGGGAGGCAGCAGUGAGGAAUAUUGGUCAAUGGAGGCAACUCUGAACCAGCCAAGUCGCGUGAAGGAUGAAGGUCUUAUGGAUUGUAAACUUCUUUGCAGGGGAAUAAAUAGCGGUACGUGUACCGUUUUGCAUGUACCCUGCGAAUAAGGAUCGGCUAACUCCGUGCCAGCAGCCGC
rnacentral:rRNA from 1 species